CAGCAGCCGCGGUAAUACGUAGGGGGCGAGCGUUGUCCGGAAUUACUGGGUGUAAAGGGCGUGUAGGCGGGGAUGCAAGUUAUUGGUAAAAACCCGAGGCUUAACUUCGGGCUUGCCGGUAAAACUGUGUCUCUUGAGGACAGGAGAGGGAAGUGGAAUUCCCGGAGUAGCGGUGAAAUGCGUAGAUACCGGGAGGAACACCAGUGGCGAAGGCGGCUUCCUGGCCUGUUACUGACGCUGAGGCGCGAAAGCUAGGGUAGCAAACGGGAUUAGAUACCCCGGUAGUCCUAGCUGUAAACUAUGGUCACUAGGUGUGGGUGGUGGUCAAGCCAUCCGUGCCGGAGCUAACGCACUAAGUGACCCGCCUGGGGAGUACGGCCGCAAGGUUGAAACUCAAAGGAAUUGACGGGGGCCCGCACAAGCGGUGGAGCAUGUGGUUUAAUUCGAAGCUACGCGAAGAACCUUACCAGGCCUUGACAUAUAGGUUGUAGAGCCCCGAAAGGGAAUCGACUGUUGGGGAACCAACAGAGCCUAUACAGGAGGUGCAUGGCC
rnacentral:rRNA from 1 species